rnacentral:tRNA from 1 species
AUUAGCUCAAUGGUUAGAGCAGUGGACUGUUAAUCCAAAGGUUCUAGGUUCAAGUCCUACCACCCAUA